UGAUGAUUUGGUUGCUCAAUCAGAACCAACAGUUGAGAAUGAAAGCAAUGGAAAGCUAGAAAGAGUUGUUUUUUUUAAUAUUUUGAUACUUCAGAGAGAAAUGAAGCCUGGAACUGGGGCAGCCACCUGUCAAGCAACAGAGCAUGGAGCCAGCAAAGGACAGAGGGCCAUACAGAUGGCCAGAGCCAAAGCACUCCACCCUAUUUCUGGUUUUCCUGUGCUGUAAACCAAUAAAUUUAUUAUUCAAACA